rnacentral:rRNA from 1 species
GACGAACGCUGGCGGCGUGCCUAAUACAUGCAAGUAGAACGCUGAAGCUUGGUGCUUGCACCGAGCGGAUGAGUUGCGAACGGGUGAGUAACGCGUAGGUAACCUGCCUGGUAGCGGGGGAUAACUAUUGGAAACGAUAGCUAAUACCGCAUAAGAGUAGAUGUUGCAUGACAUUUGCUUAAAAGGUGCAAUUGCAUCACUACCAGAUGGACCUGCGUUGUAUUAGCUAGUUGGUGAGGUAACGGCUCACCAAGGCAACGAUACAUAGCCGACCUGAGAGGGUGAUCGGCCACACUGGGACUGGGACACGGCCCAGACUCCUACGGGAGGCAGCAGUAGGGAAUCUUCGGCAAUGGACGGAAGUCUGACCGAGCAACGCCGCGUGAGUGAAGAAGGUUUUCGGAUCGUAAAGCUCUGUUGUAAGAGAAGAACGAGUGUGAGAGUGGAAAGUUCACACUGUGACGGUAUCUUACCAGAAAGGGACGGCUAACUACGUG